GAUGAGUUUUGGGACGAGACGUGAGGUACGUUCGUAGCGGUCGAUAGAGCUUCCGACCUAGGUUAUUGGUUUAGUUCCUACCCUUACUAUUCUGUUGACAUGGUUUAGAUAGUUUACCUGGUUCAGUAUUUUUAUUACAUUUGAACAUGUGGAUUUUCAUGAAUGUAAUAAAAGAAUUUUUGAAUUUUGUAAAAUAAAAGAUUUUCUACUCCUCGUGGUAGCGUUUUAUAAAGAUAAAAGUUCCUGUGUAGGGAACAGCUUUCAAAAGGUUUUCUGUGGAUCUUGUAUCUUAGUAUUUCAAAACCUGUUUCUGUGGUUGGAAACAUUUUACUGAUAGAUGUGGAUUUAUAUUUAAAUAUCGAAUGUAUUAAUGUGAACCUGUGGUGAAUGGUGUAUGAAUGUAUAUCUGUUGGUCAUUUGUAUGUUCAUAUGGUUGUGGUUGUAUAAUGUUUGAACUCUUGUACUUGUGCGACGCCGUGCAAAUACAGGGGAGACUCUGUCCGUGUGAACAGUGGAUUUCCUGUAUUUGUGGCAGAUCUGGCAUACUCUGGGGUCAGAUUUUCAAAAAAAAAAUUCCGACGCUUUUCCGCUAUCUUUUAAACUGAAAGGGACCUCGGGGCGUGACAAGGUUCGAUGCCACACUUGUUCAACCUAUGUUUAUUAACACUAGGUUCGAUGCCACACUUGUUCAACCUAUAUUUAUUAACACUAGGUUCAAUAUUACUCUUACUCAACCUAUGUCCUUGACACUAGGUUCAAUGCCACUCGAUCUAUAUAUAUAUA
rnacentral:lncRNA from 1 species